CUUAAGUAUGUGUACUUGCUGUAAAUAUGGACAGAAAGCAAUGUGUUGGCUUUAGGUGGGUUUGAUGAAGUCUCAAAAUACCCAUAAAGAUCCCACAUACAUUG